rnacentral:lncRNA from 1 species
UUUUUUUUUUUUUUUAUGGCAAGGCAGCAUGAGAGUGGAGAAGAGGGACACUGAUGUAUAGGAUAGAAACAUCUGAGCAGAUACUGAGAAACAGAGAAAUUCUGACUACAAAUCUACCUGAGAUUCUACAACUAAGGGAGGCAACUCCUCCAACUUUAUCUGAGGGAAACUAUUUUUGUCUGACUAAAAUCUUUUAAGGUACUGGUGAUGCUAAUCCUGUUCAGGAUACAUCCCACCUCCAUGUUUCCUCUGUUCCAUGAACUAAGUUGGAUACCCAAUAUCUUAGUCCAUUUGGGGACUAUAAUAAAGAACUAUAGGCUGUGUCAUGUAAACAAAUGGAAAUUUAUUUCUCAGUGUUCUAAAGGCUGCAAGUCUGAGAUCAGUGUGCCAGCAUGGUCGGGUUCUGCAGAGGGGCUCUUCUGGGUGCAGACUGCCUUUUUCUCACUGUGUCUUCACAUGGCUAUGCCCUCAUGACUUAAUCAUCACCCAAAGAUCCCACUUCCUAAUGCCAUCACAUUGGUGGUUAGGAUCUUAACAUAUACAUUUGUGGGGGUUACAAACACUUGGUCUAUGACAUCCAAAGUAGUCCCUGUGGAAAUGUAAGGAGAGCUCCGGUGUGUGUGUGUGUGUGUGUGUGUGCAGGGGGAUGAUAACUAUACACUGAAAGAAUGGCAAACUCUCACUGACCGUGUCAGCAGAGUACACAUGGGAUUAGAUAUUAAUGGUGUUAUGCCUAGGAAGAAAAAGACAAGGCUCUAUAGGACUACUAUGUUAAUAUGAAAGUGAUUGCUAGGGAUUAGAAAUUUAGUGCCUGCUCUGAAGCCUUGGGAGAACAGUUUUAAUAAUCUGCUAAAGACAAAUUGAUCUUAGCUUCAAUGAUGGCCUACAGUUAAUAAGCUUGAAAUGUCAGCUUCUUGCAGGCAUACAGUACAGUGGUGGGCCAGAGAGCUGAAAAGGUUGGAAUGGAUAUAUCAUACAAAACCUGCUUAGCUAUCUCCUAAAAAUACUGUCAAGAGAUAUUCUCACCAGUUUUUAAACUAAUUGGUGAGGAGAAUGCAACAUUUUUAUACCGCUAAUUCUCUGUAGCUCAGAGAUGCUAUCAGGGAUGCUGAAAUAAAAAUAGAUUCCUUGAUAACAACAGAAAAACCAAGGUCACCAAAGAAGUAGAGGCCAAAUUAUAACAAAGUAUGAUGGGUUUAUAUUCUACAUUAUAUUUGAAGAGGGAGAAUAUUCAUUGUGGAUAAAAUGAAUACAACACAUUUAUUUUAAUCCCCAACCAACAAAUAAUUUAGUAAUAAAUGAAACAAAAAUGUGUACCUAAAAUGAAAACAGAUAAGAAGAAGUAGACUAUGAAAUGUAAUUGAUCUAACAGCAAGCUGGACAGAAGGAUGAAGAGAAAAAAAGACAGAUGAAACAUAACAAAUAGAAGAAUGGAAGGGUUGAUCCUAAUGAUAAUGUGUUAAAUUUAAGUAAGCUAACUAUUCCAUUAAACGUUUAAGUGAGAGACAAGAUGCUGUGCUUGCAUCUCUCAUCUUGUACAAAGAGAUACGGCACAAUGUGGACCUCCUCUAAUUUCAGUGACAUCAUUUUCUGUAUUUGAGCGUCCUCAUCUGACCCCUUUACUGGAUUACCUAAUGAUUACUACUCUUGAAUGUGACCUGGAAACAAAAAAAGGGGUCUACGGAAAAUCUGGUUGUGAUGCAAGAUAUUGGCCAUUUGUUUGGUACAAUGUAGUACACUCCACGGGAUAGGAGUGUCUUUGUUAAAAAAGAACAAUGUAUAAGAACAAUGACAGACACCACAGGUAAUUAUGGUGAAGGUCUGGGUAAGGUUAAAAACUCUUCUGCUAAUAGCUAGUCUCCAUUUGAAAAGUAGUUCCUAGAACUUUUUUUUUUCCAGCCAGAAUAUUGCAACUGGUACUUGACUCACCCUGCUGCUGAAAACAUCUAUGAAAUUGAACAAAAUAUAGGGUUCAGUUUUUUUCAAGCAUUGUGUAAAGAGCAGUGAAGAUCUUUGGUUCUUGAAAAGAGAAAGACAAAUUAUGUAAACCACAUAAACAUCCUAGCCUUUUGCAUGAGGAAGGAGAAGUGUAAUCUGAAAAGAUUGGCAUUGUGAGCUGCUCAAGUAGGUGAAAUCUGGUGACCUGGUAGAUGAGACAUGGAAUCCAUAGAGAUGCAAAGAAGGGAGUGGACAGAAUAUGAAAGGAAAUUUAUAUAGUUUUAUAGUCUAAGGUUAGAAUGACUUUGAUGAAGUUUGGGAUAGAAAAAGAGAAAAAUCUAAAUAGGAUGCUAAAGAUUUAAAUAAUUCAAAGGAAAUAAUUAGAAUGGAAAAAUGUAUUUAAAAAGAAAUAAGGAGUUCCCAUUGUGGCUCAGCAGUAGAGAACCUGACUAGUAUUCAUAAGGAUGAGGGUUCAAUCCCUGUCCUCAAUCACUGUGUUAAGGAUCUGUCAUUACUGUGAGCUGCGGUGUAGGUCACAGGCCUGGCUCGGAUCCCGUGUUGCUCUGGCUAUGGCGUGGGCUGACAGCUACAGCUCUGAUUUGACCCCUAGCCUGGGUCUUCCAUAUGCCACAGAUGCGGCCCUAAAAAGACCAAAAAAUAUUUUUUUAAUGUAAUUAAAAAAAUUUAAAAAAUUAAAAAAACACAAAGCUAUAAAAAGCAAUUACACUGUAACUAUAUUAAAUGUAAAUGUUCUGAACAGUCCAAAAAAAAAAGCAAAAGUUGUCAAGCUGAAUAAAAGAGCAAGAACCAGCUUCAUUCUGUCUCAAAGAGGCCAAAAAAAGGGAGAAAAGUAAAUGAAUAGACAAACAUAGAUUAUGCAAAGAGUCAACAGAAGAAAGGAGGUGUAGGUAUAAACAGUAGUAUGAGAGAUAAAGGACAUUUCCUAAGGACAAGGACUCAGUGCACCAGGAAAAUAUAACUGUACUAAGUAUGUAUGCACAUAAGAUAAGAGCUGUGAAAAUAGUAAGACAAAACUGGACAAAUCUAAAUUGAGAAAUAAAUAAAUUCACAAUCACAGCUGGAUACUUUAACAUCACUAAUUUAGUAAUCCAUGGAAUAGACCACAAAUAAAUAAACUAUCCAUCUGAGCCCAACCCCCGCUUGUAGACUAACUAGAAUGUAGUUAGUUACAUGAAUGAGUCCAGAGACCAAAAAUACUUCCACAUCCUUGUUCUUUCUCAUUGGUAGUUUGAGUUACUUAAAUGGAACAACCCUAUACAUUUAAACAUUCUUAGUAAACUGUAAAACAUUGCUGCCCCACAUUCUAAAAUAUAAAUAUGAUGCUGUAUAUUAAAUUUUUGAAUAACAAACAAGAACAUAUAUUUGAACACUAGUAAUUUUGUCUAAAUAAUUUCUGUAAUACAACAGGCACAACCACUACAGAAUACAUAUUGUUUUCAAGAGUACACAGAUGAUUUACCAAGAAGACUGCAUUAUUAUCAGAUAACAAAUCUUGAUAACUUAUAUAAACUUGCAAUCUUACAAAUUUUCUGAUGAGAAUCAUAUUAAUUUAGACCUCCUUCAAGAGGUUACUUACGGUGACUAUGUCAAGUAAAACCCAACUUUAUUCAGAUGGUCUUGGUAGAUGGUAUGGUGAAGAUAAAUUGGAUAUCAAAACAAAGGAGCUAUACUUUAAAAUUUAGACUUCACAACUAUUUGCAGAAGAUUAGUAUUUAAAAGUAAAUGUGGUUUUAAUUUGCAUUUAUUCUUAUUUCUGUUAUGUUUAGCAACAUUUAUAUAAUUUUGAAUAGUUCAUUUCCUUCUCAUAUUUAUUAUCAAUUACAUCUUGUGCCAAAAGUUUACUUUUUUUGUCUUUUUGUCUUUUUAUUUUUUAAGUGUAAAUCAUUGCUAUUAUGUGUAUAUGUGUUUGUGUGCACAUGUGUGUAUUUGUGUAUGAUGUAUUUAUUUUACUUUUAAAUAUGUAGGAAAGUUCAUAUAUUUUAUCUUAUCAUUUGAAGUUCUUUAUAUUGAAAAUAUCUUCUAUUGAUAUUGCAGGGUGACUUUUGAUGCAUAGAAAUAUUCAAUUUUAAUGUAGUUGCAUAUGUAAUUUUUCUUUAUGUUUGUCUAUUUUGCGUCUUUUAAGACAUUCUAGGUACUUCAAUAUAAUAAGCAUGUUAUCCUAUAGCAUGUGCCAAAAGUUUUAAAGUUUUAUUUUUAAGUGUAAAUAAUUGCUAUUAUGUGUAUAUAUGUUUGUGUGCAUGUGUGUGUGAGUGUGUAUUUGUGUAUGAUGUAAAGCAGCCCAUUCUUUCUUCCAUCAAAUUUCAGUGUCAAUGGUGCCAAAUAUAAAAUAACUGUAUAUGUUUUGGCCCAGUACUAUUUUUGAACAAUUAUUGAGAUUUUUAUUUUAAAUAUUAUUUUUGAAGAUACCUAAUAAUAAGUGUUUUAAUUAAGGUUCUUAUGAUUUUUCUGAUGACUCAUGUUCACAUUUCUGAGUCAUCCCUGUGACUUGCAUUUGAAUUGUAUUUGAAUUUGCUGGUUCUUCCACAUUUCAACUUUUCCUAGCAGAUGUGCUAACAGCUGAAAAGUCUGAUUAUAGGUUCAAAUGAAAGAGAUCUUAGUCAAGGGAAUGGAAAAAGAGAAAAUGAAGAAAGGAGAGUCAGUUCCUUGUGGACCGAAAAACAUAUGCCUUUUAUAAUCCAUAUAUGUGUGUGGCAUUCACAAGACCAUUUGAAAAUAUAUUUAGAGUAGAAUGUCUGUGUAUGGGUGAAUAUAAGAAAAUAUCCAGAAAAGAUCAAAUUGUAUAGAUAUUAAUUAAAAAAAAGGUAAGAAUAUGACAAAACUACACUAUCUAGGUCAUUUCAGGUAGAUUUCAGUAAGUAACUUUGAAUGGUGUGUAUUUAUUAUCACUUUCUGGAAACCUUAUGCCACAGAUUUAAAAAUAUAAAGACUUUUCUAAGAAUACUGCAUUGUAAUGGUGGUUAUAACUAGGAAAUGGAAAAGGAAUACUAAAUUCUAUUAUUCAUGAAAAUUGUCUGCAAGAAUAAAUUUAGAAAUAACACAUUUAAACCCUUCAGUACAGCCCUAAAAUUAACCCACUACAUUUUAGAGGUAGGGCAAUACCCAAGAUAAAUACUGUGUUGGUAUCAAAUGAAAUCAUUAACAAUGCCUGCUAACAAAGCCAGUAAUAAAAGACAAAAUUACACUUUGGGUUGGGGGGGGCUGAGACAUUUGGAUUGAAAAAACUAAAUUUAGAUGAGAAUGAAAUAGCUAGAUCAUUGACCC